CGUGUUGUCUGGCGAGGUGCGGCUAUAUUGCGAAGGGUGGUAGGUGUGGUCGGUUGUCAUGGGUGUAAAGCGGGUGUCUGCGGCCCUGGUUGUCGCGUGGGAAGGCCCCGGUGUCAACCUGGGAACGGCUCGCGGUACGGCGGGGCUAGAGAUCGGGAGAGGAGCGUGGAAUUCCCAGUGUAGAGGUGAAAUUCGUAGAUAUUGGGAAGAACACCGGUGGCGAAGGCGGCGCUCUGGACCGAGACUGACGCUGAGGCGCGAAAGCGUGGGGGGCAAACAGGAUUAGAUACCCUAGUAGUC
rnacentral:rRNA from 1 species